rnacentral:lncRNA from 1 species
UUCCUGUCAAGGUCUGUUUAAUGAAGGCUAGGAGCCUGAUUUCUCUCACACAGUGAGAGAAAAUAGGGAGGGGUCGAGGAGGCAUAAUAAAAUACAGAGAAAGGAAUGGACAUCUGGGGUGAAUGCUGAUUACAGGCUUCUUGCAGCUUAUCUCAGAAUGUUGGCCCUAAAACAGUCCUGGGCAGCCUUCAAACAUUCUGCAGUUUAUCUUGGGGUGCCUGUCCUGACUAAACAAUCUCGGGCAGCAAACAGAGACAUGGAGGAGGAGGUGAAGCUGCCUUAAUCUAAGCAGUUCUAGGUGCCAAGUGAAGGAGGGAGUGAAGUUGGCAGUCUCUGGCACCAGGUAGAGGCAAUGAAGGGGUGUGUGUGUGUGUGACAUAAUUCCCUUCAAAGGGUCAGCCGGAUCUUUAGGGUGAGAGUAACUGCGGGACCUAGUUUCCCACGGUUUGGUCUCUCACAGAUGUAGAAGGGCCAGCAAAUUUGGGGUAUUGCCAUUCCUAGGCAGGUAGUGCUGGGGUCAUUAAAGAAAAAAGCUGAGCAAGCAAUGGGGAACAAGUCUGUAAGUCUGUCUUCUUGUUCUUCUUGGUCUUUUCUUCCGUUUCUGCCUCCAGGUUCCUGCCAUGAGUUUCAGCCCUGUUUUCCCUCAGUGAUGAACUAUUACCUGCUGCAGUCCAGAUAAUCCAACAAUGGCUGGCUGUGACUGGAAAGUCCAAGAAUCUUGUAACUGCCCAGUUCCACAAAGCUUGAUAUCUCAGCUGGUCAUCUGUAUAAUGCUGGAAUCCCAACAAAGUAGGCUUCAAUGCCAAGUGAAAGAAUAGAUGUGUGUGUGUGCUAGCAGUGGAGGGAGAGCAGGCAAAGAGCAAACACUUCCUUCUAUGUCCUUAUACAGGCUUCCAGCAGAAAGUACAGCCUAUAUUAAAGGUGUGUCUUUUCACCUCAAGGUUUGGAUUAAAGGCAAAUGUCUUCUCACCAGAUCAAAGGUGUGUGUCUUCCCACUUGAAGGUCUGGACUAGAAGUAGAU